rnacentral:piRNA from 2 species
UGCUCUUUCCUGCUAAAGUGGCCCCUGC